rnacentral:lncRNA from 1 species
GGGGGGGGGGGGGGAGGGGGGGGGGGGGGGAGGGAGGGAGGGAGGGACGGACGGACGGACGGACGGACGGAGGGACGGACGGAGGGACGGAGGGACGGAGGGAGAAUGAAAGAAUGGAGCCACAUAUGACUUCCAUUAGUGUGGAAAUCGGGGAGACACAGUUAUAUGAAGAAGCACUUUUAAGUCCUUUCCUUUCUUCUCUGCUUUCAGUUUUACCGUACUCAUCGCCUUUGGCACAAGAAGAGCUGCAGAAAGGAGGGAAGACCAUCAUGCCCUGUCCUCGCAGCUCAGGGCCCAAGUUCAAUAUUUCUAAUACUUUCUCAAUGGUCAAAAGGACGUGUGUGAAGCUCAUUUCAAGCCAUAUAAUAGAAUCCGGUGAUUUCAAGCCAUACACUGGGAGAAACUUCCCAUGAAGCUUGUCCCGGGCACCUGAUGGUCUGAAGCACAGUCAUUGACCCCAGGGACUCUGCAUUGGAGGGAAAACCCUGAAAGGUCACAAGUUCAGCCACCCCCACAAACACUCUCACUUCUCGGCCCCUUCUGUGUUAUGUCAUCUCUCUUUGUUCCCCAUGGAAUGAGACGUUUAAAUUACAACACAGAGCAGCUGCCAUUUGAGCUCUUGAGAACUGGUGUUUGAGAGAGGGUUCUGUAUGCCUGCUUCACUCCAGAAAAUUAUUAUAGAUGAUGUGGUUGAGUCAUGUUGCACAUGGUAUAAAAGUAAAUAAAUAAACAACCCUCAGGUUGACA